rnacentral:lncRNA from 1 species
CUCUUUCCCAGCACAACCUAUCAACCCAAACCCUUAGUCCACCCCUAAAAACAUGGCGUCCAUCAACGAUGGGUCUGUAUCUGGCGAAAAUUAAUAUAUGAAUGUGGGAGCUUGAUGUUCCUGGACUUGUCUGGAAAUUUCUUUGCUGGACAAAUACCAAAACAUGUAUUUACCAAUCUAGGCCAACUUGAAUAUUUCAGUCUCUUCAUUAACCAUUUCCAAGGACCACUGCCAUAAAACUAUCCCAAUCUUAAAUGCCUCCAUUUAGCAGUGAAC